UACAAUGAAGAGUUUGAUCCUGGCUCAGGAUGAACGCUAGCGGCAGGCUUAACACAUGCAAGUCGAGGGGUAACAUUGUGCUUGCACAGAUGACGACCGGCGCACGGGUGCGUAACGCGUAUAGAACCUACCUUUUACAGGGGAAUAGCCUUUAGAAAUGAAGAUUAAUGCCCCAUAGUAUUGAGACUUGGCAUCAAGUUUUAAUUAAAGAUUUAUCGGUAAAAGAUGGCUAUGCGUCCUAUUAGUUAGUUGGUAAGGUAACGGCUUACCAAGACAUCGAUAGGUAGGGGUCCUGAGAGGGAGAUCCCCCACACUGGUACUGAGACACGGACCAGACUCCUACGGGAGGCAGCAGUGAGGAAUAUUGGACAAUGGAGGCAACUCUGAUCCAGCCAUGCCGCGUGUAGGAAGAAUGCCCUAUGGGUUGUAAACUACUUUUAUACAGGAAGAAACACUGGUAUGUAUACCAGCUUGACGGUACUGUAAGAAUAAGGACCGGCUAACUCCGUGCCAGCAGCCGCGGUAAUACGGAUGGUCCGAGCGUUAUCCGGAAUCAUUGGGUUUAAAGGGUCCGCAGCGGUCUAUUAAGUCAGAGUGAAAUCCCAUAGCUCAACUAUGGAACUGCCUUUGGAUAC
rnacentral:rRNA from 1 species